rnacentral:miRNA from 1 species
AUGGGGGAAGAGCUGUUGCGUCACUUCCUCAGGCAGACAUAUUUACUAGAGGGUGCCAUCCACAACCUUCCAGUAAGAGAGGCAGCAGAAGGGAGGGGCUCACCUGACUUCCGGGAACUGUGUG